CUCCUACGGGAGGCAGCAGUGGGGAAUCUUGCACAAUGGGCGAAAGCCUGAUGCAGCGACGCCGCGUGGGGGAUGAAGCUUUUCGGAGUGUAAACCCCUUUCGACCCGGACGAAUGCCCCGCAAGGGGAGUGACGGUACGGGUAUAAGAAGCCCCGGCUAACUACGUGCCAGCAGCCGCGGUAAGACGUAGGGGGCCAGCGUUGCUCGGAAUUACUGGGUGUAAAGGGUUCGUAGGCGGUGUGGCAAGUCGGGAGUGAAAUCUCUGGGCUCAACCCAGAGGCUGCUUCCGAAACUGCUGUGCUUGAGUGUGGGAGAGGCGCGUGGAAUUGCAGGUGUAGCGGUGAAAUGCGUAGAUAUCUGCAGGAACACCCGUGGCGAAAGCGGCGCGCUGGACCACAACUGACGCUGAGGAACGAAAGCUAGGGGAGCAAACAGGAUUAGAUACCCUGGUAGUCCUAGCCCUAAACGAUCAGGACUUGGGGUGCCGCACGUUCGUGCGUCGUCCCGGAGCUAACGCGUUAAGUCCUGCACCUGGGGAGUACAGUCGCAAGACUGAAACUCAAAGGAAUUGACGG
rnacentral:rRNA from 1 species